rnacentral:rRNA from 1 species
GCCUACCAUGGUUUUAACGGGUAACGGGGAAUUAGGGUUCGAUUCCGGAGAGGGAGCCUGAGAAACGGCUACCACAUCCAAGGAAGGCAGCAGGCGCGCAAAUUACCCAAUCCCGAUACGGGGAGGUAGUGACAAUAAAUAACAAUACAGGGCUCUUAUGGGUCUUGUAAUUGGAAUGAGUACAAUUUAAAUCUCUUAACGAGGAACAAUUGGAGGGCAAGUCUGGUGCCAGCAGCCGCGGUAAUUCCAGCUCCAAUAGCGUAUAUUAAAGUUGUUGCAGUUAAAAAGCUCGUAGUUGAAUUUCGAAAUUUUUUUAUCGGUUGGAUCAACAGGUUCGUACUGAUUUUAAGAAUUUCUACCUUCUGGAGAACCUUAAUGUCAUUUAUUUGAUGUUUUGGGAAGCCAGGACUGUUACCUUGAAAAAAUUAGAGUGUUUAAAGCAGGCUUAUGUCUGAAUAUAUUAGCAUGGAAUAAUGAAAUAGGACGGCAUGGUUCUAUUUUGUUGGUUUCUAGGAUCACCGUAAUGAUUAAUAGGGAUAGUUGGGGGCAUUAGUAUUCAAUUGUCAGAGGUGAAAUUCUUGGAUUUAUUGAAGACUAACUUCUGCGAAAGCAUUUGCCAAGGAUGUUUUCAUUAAUCAAGAACGAGAGUUAGGGGAUCGAAGACGAUCAGAUACCGUCGUAGUCUUAACCAUAAACUAUGCCGACUAGGAAUCGGACGAAGUUAAUUUUUUAAUGACUCGUUCGGCGCCUUACG